GCCCCAUGACUUCGGAUUGGGAAGCUGGCUCUACAGGCAAAUCGGAACCAGGGAAUCCGGUGUAAAUCCGGAGCUGUACCCGCAGCUGUAAGCGCCAAUAUGGACGGAAAAAUAUCCACUGUCUUAUGACGGGAAGGAUUCCGAAUCCGGCGCGAGCCAGAAGACCUCCCGAUCGCCUUUCGUCAUU
rnacentral:ncRNA from 2 species